UAAUAAGUGUUUUAUGGCACUUUUUAAAUCCAUAUCCACCUUGUGUGCAAUGUCAGUCGAUCUUCUUCAUGGAGAUCGACCAAACAUCAACCUUUAUCUUUUAACUCUUUGUCUGAAAAAUAUUAUGAAUAAACAAUUCAAAAUACAACUUUCAACAACGGAUCUCUUGGCUCUCUGCAUUAGAUGAAGAAAGCAGCGUAAAUGCGAUUCCGUAAUGUGAACCUGCAGAAUUCAGUGAAUCAUAGAAUCUUUGAACGCAUAUGCGCUCUUUGGUAUCCGAAGAGCGCACCUAUGCGUUCAAUGUAUUCGAUGCUUCACUGAAUCUGCAAUCACAUACGUAUCGCAUUCGCUGCGUUCUUCAUCGAUGGAGAGCCAAGAGAUCCGUUGUUGAAAGUUGUAUUUGAAUAGUUAUUCAUAAUA
rnacentral:misc_RNA from 1 species